rnacentral:rRNA from 1 species
GACGAACGCUGGCGGCGUGCUUAACACAUGCAAGUCGAACGAUGAACCAGGGCUUGCCCUGGGGAUUAGUGGCGAACGGGUGAGUAACACGUGGGCAACCUGCCCCAGACACCGGGAUAACCAUCCGAAAGGAUGGCUAAUACCGGAUAUGACCACUUUGGGCAUCCAACGGUGGUGGAAAGGAUUCUGGUCUGGGAUGGGCCCGCGGCCUAUCAGCUAGUUGGUGGGGUAAUGGCCUACCAAGGCGACGACGGGUAGCUGGUCUGAGAGGAUGAUCAGCCACACGGGAACUGAGACACGGUCCCGACUCCUACGGGGGGCAGCAGUGAGGAAUAUUGGGCAAUGGGCGAAAGCCUGACCCAGCAACGCCGCGUGGAGGAUGAAGGCUUUAGGGUUGUAAACUCCUUUUGUGGGGAAAGAAUGGAUGGUACCCCAAGAAUAAGUCACGGCUAACUACGUG